GACGACUGACAGAGUGCAACCGGAGGGUUGUGAACCUCUUCCGACUUUCAUGUGAUCUCUCUCUCUCUUUCCCUCUCUCUCUCUCUUUUUAUACUCAAGUAGAAAAAGAGGGUGACUACUAUACUGCAUCCAAAUGAGAGAGGGGAGAACGUGCAGAGAUUCACGUCCCCCCUUACUUUUCGUGAGUCAAAAAUAGGUUUUAGACGAAAGGCCAGCAGAAAAACGAAGCACUUUUUCCUUCGUGCUUUAAACUGAUCGAAUGUGUCUCUCCUCGUCUUUCCCCCCUCAGCUGGUUCAGCUGGGAAGACACCUACACAGCUUUGACUUCUGCCCCAAAAUGGUUUCUUGUGUACAGUUCAAGUAGCAACAGAAAAUCAGUCCAAAAAGGACUUUAGUUGUUUCCAACCAUUCGACAGCUCUAAACUACGUCGUUAAAUUAUCCACAAAUCAUUAUUGUUAGUGAAACGGACGCUCUUUCAUUUUACACGGAUAUCUCGAAACUAUGCGAAAUUGAGGCUCUGUCACAGGGACCUGCCAGUGGCUUCGUGUUGUAUCUACGUGCGAGCAGCACGUCGUACAACUUUUUUCCGAUAACGUAAGCUCGUCAUACGAGACACACGUUAGGUUAUUUAUAAACUCGGCCAUGGAAAUAUUUUCUUGUUUUAGUUCUUUUUCAUUCUUUUUGGUUGGCGUUCAUCGCGUUACUUGUUGGCCUGGUUCGAACCACAGAUGAGGAACAAAAGAACGAGAAGCAACGGCUUAAAAAGAAUUGAGCAAAACAAUAACAAGAACAACACGGCUGGCUGCUGGGUUUUGUUUAUCCUCUGUCAAGACUCGAUCCAUCACAGUUUCCGUCUCCACUAUUUUCCCAACUUGCAUCGCAGAGUGAGAAACACACACACAAAAAAACGAUGGUUUCCAGAUGUUUCAACUAUUCGAUGCUACGCUUUUUUUUUGUGUUUUAGAAAUGGAAUGUACUAUGGCAAAGAUUGGAGAGCCGAUCAAUUUUUGUUUGCAUUUAACAGCAUCCAGUUUCUUUCUUUAAUCGUUGAAAGAAAGAUUUUUCGGUUGACCUCCCAGAUACGGGAACUGGUAAAGAUAACAAAGAAAAAGAACAUGGAGCUUACAAGAUGGAAGGUUUGUCGCUGUUGGUUUGUUCCAUGGACGAUUGGAGAGGAACCAAAUCAACGACAGAAGCAUCACGAACCGGUGGUCAAUCGACUAUUGAGUUUGCACACUGCCAAUGCAUACAACUGUACUCCAAUUGCCAUUACCGAAUUGCUACGGCUCUACGAUAACUACAACCUACGGAACUACAAAAGAACUACAACGACAACAAAUGUGGACGCUUUAGCAAGGCCAGUAAUCAAUAGGCGCUAAAUUUGCAAACACUCAACAACGACGAAGAAGAGAAACAAAGUGAAGCCUUUGCGAAACUGGCAGCUGUGCAGGAACGUGAGCGCUUUGGCGCAUCGACGAAAGGCGCGACCGCUUGUUUUUCGCUUAUUUUAUUAACGCCUUUUUCUUACUGGCUAGCUAUAAAUAAUUAAGGAGGAGAGAAAAUGAGAGAGAGAGAGAGGGAAAGUCGUGGAUGCGGCGGAAGAGACGGGUGGCCGCCAGCUGCUAGGGCGGGUCCAGUUUAGAUAUCGGAGCGUUUCGACCGACAUUCUUUGGCAAAACUAUGAUGUCAAUCGGCGUCGAGCAAGAGGCUCCGUUUGACACGGUAUUCCUUGCGAUCGGCAGUUGUGAAAAUGACGAAUUGAACCGGAACGGAAGAGUUGACAGAAUUUUUUUAGACGGACAUACCGGCAGAUGCAGAAGAAGAAGUCCAGGACGAAAGCUGUGGCGGUGAUUCAAGCUGGUAGUCGUCCUCGUCGUCGGCCAUCUUUGACGUUCACCACAGCAGCACAGUAGCCGUGUAGCUAUAGCUGCGCUGAUUCGAGGAUCCUCCUAAAAAUUCCCCAGCUGGGAUUCUUGUCGGUAUCUCGCAUUGAGUGGCGAUGUGAGUUACGAUAAAGCAAACCGCCUCGAAAAGUGAUGUCACUAACAGUUCGUACACAGGUAGAAUUCCAGCUGUAUAUUUACAAUCUAUUUUGAUCGAAACGCUGGUGAAGAUAAGGUAUCGUGGAACUCGCCGAACUUUCCAAGACGCUUUGAGUGUAUACAAUCCCGUCAUUACAACAGAACUUUCUACUGUAUUGAUCACGUUACAACGCGCAUGAUCCGAAUAAAACACAUCCGUCAGA
rnacentral:lncRNA from 1 species